rnacentral:misc_RNA from 1 species
AAGUCGUAACAAGGUUUCCGUAGGUGAACCUGCGGAAGGAUCAUCAACAAAUCUUUUUAAAAAAAAUUGGGGGAAAAAAACCCAUUUUUUUUUUAUACCAAUGUGAAUAGAGGGAGUUUUUUUUUUUAAUUUAUUUAAAAAAAAAAAACUCUCUUGUUAUAUUAACUUUUUUUUUAAUAGAGUCUGUUUUUAAAAAAUAUAAAAUUUAUAUACAACUUUUAACAAUGGAUCUCUUGGCUCUU